rnacentral:rRNA from 1 species
AAAAACACAGCACUCUGCAAACACGAAAGUGGACGUAUAGGGUGUGACGCCUGCCCGGUGCUGGAAGAUUAAAUGAUGGGGUGCAAGCUCUUGAUUGAAGUCCCAGUAAACGGCGGCCGUAACUAUAACGGUCCUAAGGUAGCGAAAUUCCUUGUCGGGUAAGUUCCGACCUGCACGAAUGGCGUAACGAUGGCCACACUGUCUCCUCCAGAGACUCAGCGAAGUUGAAAUGUUUGUGAUGAUGCAAUCUCCCCGCGGAAAGACGGAAAGACCCCAUGAACCUUUACUGUAGCUUUGUAUUGGAUUUUGAACGGAUCUGUGUAGGAUAGGUGGGAGGCUUUGAAGUGAGGACGCUAGUUCUCAUGGAGCCGACGUUGAAAUACCACCCUGGUGCGUUUGAGGUUCUAACCCAGGUCCCUUAUCGGGAUCGGGGACAGUGCAUGGUAGGCAGUUUGACUGGGGCGGUCUCCUCCCAAAGCGUAACGGAGGAGUUCGAAGGUACGCUAGUUACGGUCGGACAUCGUGACGAUAGUGCAAUGGCAUAAGCGUGCUUAACUGCGAGACUGACAAGUCGAGCAGAUGCGAAAGCAGGACAUAGUGAUCCGGUGGUUCUGUAUGGAAGGGCCAUCGCUCAACGGAUAAAAGGUACUCUGGGGAUAACAGGCUGAUACCGCCCAAGAGUUCAUAUCGACGGCGGUGUUUGGCACCUCGAUGUCGGCUCAUCUCAUCCUGGGGCUGUAGUCGGUCCCAAGGGUAUGGCUGUUCGCCAUUUAAAGAGGUACGUGAGCUGGGUUUAAAACGUCGUGAGACAGUUUGGUCCCUAUCUUCCGUGGGCGCUGCAGAUUUGAGGAAGCCUGCUCCUAGUACGAGAGGACCGGAGUGGACACACCUCUGGUGUAUCGGUUGUCACGCCAGUGGCAUUGCCGAGUAGCUAAGUGUGGAAGAGAUAACCGCUGAAAGCAUCUAAGCGGGAAACUCGUUUCAAGAUGAGAUCUGCCGGGGCCUUGAGCCCCCUGAAGAGUCGUUCAAGACCAGGACGUUGAUAGGCUGGGUGUGGAAGCGCAGUAAUGCGUUAAGCUAACCAGUACUAAUUGCUCGUGAGGCUUGACCCUAUAACUUUG